rnacentral:rRNA from 1 species
GAGGAAUAAGCAUCGGCUAACUCCGUGCCAGCAGCCGCGGUAAUACGGGGGAUGCAAGCGUUAUCCGGAAUCAUUGGGCGUAAAGCGCCUGUAGGUUGUUUAGUAAGUCUGUUGUUAAAGACUAAGGCUUAACCUUAGGAAAGCGAUGGAAACUACUAGACUUGAGUAUGGCAGGGGUAGAGGGAAUUUCUAGUGUAGCGGUGAAAUGCGUAGAUAUUAGAAAGAACACCAGCGGCGAAAGCGCUCUACUGGACCAUUACUGACACUCAGAGGCGAAAGCUAGGGGAGCAAAAGGGAUUAGAUACCCCUGUAGUCCUAGCCGUAAACGAUGGAUACUAGGUGUUGUGUAUACUAUACAGUGCCGUAGCUAACGCGUUAAGUAUCCCGCCUGGGGAGUACGCUCGCAAGGGUGAAACUCAAAGGAAUUGACGAGGGCCCGCACAAGCGGUGGAGCAUGUGGUGUAAUUCGAUGCAACGCGAAGAACCUUACCAGGGCUUGACAUACUGCAAAUCUUUUUAAACGAAAGAGUGCCUUCGGGAAUGCAGAUACAGGUGGUGCAUGGCUGUCGUCAGUUCGUGUCGUGAGAUGUUGGGUUAAGUCCCGCAACGAGCGCAACCCUCGUUUUUAGUUACCAAUUUAUUGGAAUCUCUAGAAAGACUGCCGGUGACAAACCGGAGGAAGGUGAGGAUGACGUCAAGUCAGCAUGCCCCUUAUGUCCUGGGCCACACACGUGCUACAAUGGCAAAGACAAAGAGUCGCAAACCUGCAAAGGCUAGCUAAUCUCGGAAACUUUGUCUAAGUUCGGAUUGUAGGCUGCAACUCGCCUGCAUGAAG